UCACUGCUGGAGGAAGAAGAAGAACGCACAGGGUCGGGUCAAGCUGUAAAUUUGGUGUGCUGCGCGUGAAUUGGGCUGGGAACUCGGGUUGACUGGAAUAAAAAAGAGGCCACUUGCUCCUCUUCUAUGAAGCUCUUUCCCACAAGCUCGGGAUUAUAGCUUAAAUAUAGCUAGGUGAUGUACGUAUCAGUAAUCAGCAGCGAGUUUGGGGACACUGCCUAUGAAGGGAACAUGUACAAUUUUGGAAACUUUGGAAUCCAAUGGAGCUCAAAUAAUUUCUCCCCAACCAUCAAGUUCUACUGAAGUUGCAUAGUCUCCAUUGAUAUCUACUGUAAAAUGUUACAUUCGUUUGUUGUAUAAAGAUGAAGCUGAGCUUCACAUUGGGAUAAGGAAGAGCAGAUAUGAUUAGAGACAUGUGUCAUAUCAAAUUUUGUAUAGAAUAUAUUGUAAUCCUUACCAAAUUUGGAGAGUAGUUUUCUAAAAUUAGUUGACUUAACUAUG